rnacentral:lncRNA from 1 species
UCACGUCUCACUGCAUCCUAAAUCCAGCUGCUGCAGCACGCUUUUGUUCAAACUCUGAAGUCAGGCGGCCGGGAGGAAAGUUUCUUUUUACUCAGAAAAUGUUCGCGGUAACGGAUCGAUGAAGUUUGAACUUUAAAGCGCAGAUUUUUUGCUUUUUUUUCUCUCUUUUUGUCGACAUUUGGGAUUUAAGCAGCUCGUGAACGGAGGAUCUGUGUGUCCAGGUCUUUCCCUAAACCACUUCGUUGACUGCUGUGUGGAAUAUGACUGCUGUCUGCACAGCUGAGAGACUUUUAAUGCCAUUUUUGACAGGAAGGAGAGGGUAAAUGUAUGUUUGCCCUCACCCUCCUCGUUGGAGACCUAUGGAGAGGCUGUACUGUGCGCAUUUACGCAGCUCCUGGACUCACAAUCGGCGUGAACACUGAUUCCACACACCUGGAUAGCGCAAAACGGGACACUAAACCCAAUUUGAAUGCCUUUGCAAGGAGUUUGCUGGUUUUUUUGCUGCAGGCAGGGCUUCAGUUUGCUGGGACGGGACUAUGGGGAAAAAGAGGAGGAAGAGUCUUUUGAAUUGCGCAACAAGGAGGACUUGACUCCCAAUGGACGGACUCCGGGAGAUGUGAUUGCUUCUCAACCAACCUGUGCAGGAAACGGGACAAACGGACAUGCUGUCCCACAAUCACCUGAUGAGAUGAAGAGUCUGAUUAUCGAGAAGAGGAAGAUGGGGGUGGAGGAGGAGCCAGAACUGUUGGUGAAAGGUAAGUGUGACUUUCAGAGCAAACGAAAUGUAACACACCUUCUUCCUGAAACCCAUAUCAUCAUUAUCGUAUUGAAAUAAAUACCUAAAUAUGUUUAUU